UGUGAGCCACUUCCGAGUGCCUUGAUCCU
rnacentral:piRNA from 1 species